rnacentral:rRNA from 1 species
UACGGAGGGUGCAAGCGUUGUCCGGAUUUAUUGGGUUUAAAGGGUGCGUAGGCGGCCCGGUAAGUCAGUGGUGAAAGCCUCCAGCUCAACUGGAGAACUGCCAUUGAUACUGCCGGGCUUGAGUACAGACGAGGUUGGCGGAAUUGAUUGUGUAGCGGUGAAAUGCAUAGAUACAAUCAAGAACUCCGAUUGCGUAGGCAGCUAACUAGGCUGUAACUGACGCUGAGGCACGAAAGCGUGGGGAGCGAACAGGA